UACGGGGGGAGCAAGCGUUGUUCGGAUUUACUGGGCGUAAAGGGCGCGUAGGCGGCCAGCACAAGUCAGUUGUGAAAUCUCCGAGCUUAACUCGGAAAGGUCAACUGAUACUGUGCGGCUAGAGUGCGGAAGGGGCAACUGGAAUUCUUGGUGUAGCGGUGAAAUGCGUAGAUAUCAAGAGGAACACCUGCGGCGAAGGCGGGUUGCUGGGCCGACACUGACGCUGAUGCGCGAAAGCGUGGGGAGCAAACGGG
rnacentral:rRNA from 1 species